UAUCCAGGAAAGGUUGCCUCAGGUCGCACUGUCUUCAGACAUAGAGCCAUGGGACACACACAGUUCACAUCAACAGCUGGAGUUUCCCAGUACGCUCCAGAUUAUGACGUGCCCCACUGGAGAUCUGGAUCAUCUGGAUUUCUUAUUCCUUCUGAUGUUCAGCUCAUGUCUGAGAGAAAUCCGGAUGUGUGGCUAUGGAGCAGGAUAG